CGCUCUCGCCCUUCCGCCCUUAGUUCACUUUCUCCAAUCAGAUCGUCCGCGCGCACAAAACGUGUUUAUUUACUUUCCCCACUUCUCCGUAUACGUCUGCCGUAAACAAGGAGCAGGUUUUGGCCAAUUGCCAUCGUUUUUAGCCGGAGCAGGCGGUUUUAAAUGAUAAUGUCCAGGCUCUCUGGGAAGUUGCAAAUGUGCUGAUAUAUGGCAGAUCCAGGUCAGUUCCCUCGCCAAGUUUUGCAGGCCACCAUGUUAUCCAUUCUGUUCAGCUAUUUAGAAAAUGUUGAAUAUCAACAAUGGCUUUCACUGCGGCAUUGUUGGCUUUUGUAUGAAGCAAUCUUGGCUGAAUGUGAUGGCUCGGCGUGCAGGGAGGGCUCACUGCCGAAUGAGAAUCUUCCUGCCUCUCUCUUUCCUCUGGGCUCUGAGCUGCACAACUGGAGGGUCUCAUGGGCUUCUCAGCGCUGCUUACACGAUAUCGCCAAGCCCCCUGAAGACGCGGAGAGAGCGAUGAAGAGGGACGAGUGAAGGCGGUGAGAGAAAGUGACGCCAGGAUUGGUCGGCUGUCUGUUCCAUAUUCAGCAGCUCUGGAUGAGGCAGUGGGCCUGCUGGGAAAACGGUGUCGUAAUCAGGAGCCGAUCGCUCUGCCUGAUCAGCUGAAGCUGGUCAGUUCCCCAGCAUCAUCAGAGUGCCCUUAUUGUCCAUCAGUCCUCAGUGUCUGGUCAUGGGGCAGCCCUGCACCCACACACACUGUUCACCGUGGGAAGCAGCACAUCAAGAAGAAUUGUGCGUGUUUGGCUCAGGUAACAUGGUGGGGGAGGAGCACGGAUGGCCGGAUGAAGGGACAGAAAUAGAGAAAGAGGGACAUACAGAGAGAGUGUGUGUGAGAGAGAGAGAGAGAGAGAGAGAGAGAGAGAGAGAGAGUAACCCUGGGGUGGAGGACUUGGAAAGGUGAGCAUGAGCCUCUCAUGAGGUCUCUUCUAUGUGUUUAUGUAAGUGUGCAUGUUUACCCAUAUGCAUAUGUGCAUUCAUGUUUGUGUUAUUGUGUGUGUGUGUGUUUGUGUGUGUGUUUGUGUGUGUGUUUGUGUGUGUGUUUGUGUGUGUGUUUGUGUGUGUGUUUGUGUGUGUGUUUGUGUGUGUGGGUGGG